GACAGAACGGAGGAUAGGUAGAGUUGAUGGAAGAGAGAGAGACACCUUUCGUCUUCAAAUUUGGCAAACUCGCUCGCGUGAUUGACACCCUUAUUUUCCUUUCCCCUCCUCUUAUUUUCCUUUUCUUCUCAGUUUCCACUGUUAUUCAUAAUAUUAUAAUAACAAUAAUCACUUUGGUUAAUACAAGCUCCAGAUUAGGGUUUCAGUUAUUCAUCCACCUUCCUCUCCUAAAAAAUAAAAUAAUAAAACUAAACCCGCUUUCGUUCUCUUUCGAAUUAAUUAACAUCAUUUUUAUGUCUAAAAGGUUACUAUGCAAGUUCUUUGCUCAUGGGGCGUGUUUGAAAGGGGAACAUUGUGAAUUUUCACAUGACUGGAAAGAUCCUCCAAAUAAUAUUUGUACAUUUUAUCAAAAAGGUAUCUGUGUGUAUGGCAGUCGAUGCCGAUAUGAUCAUGUUAAACCUUCUAGGCCUGAAUCUACUGCGUCAUCUUCUUUGACAGUUCUGGCCUCAACUUCCCGAUAUGAUCAUGUUAAACCUUCUAGGGCUGAAUCUACUGCGUCAUCUUCUUUGACAGUUCUGGCCUCAACUUCUGUUUCCCUGGCCCUUCCUGCAAGAACUGUAUCAAGUGGAGUGAGGACAGUGCUGGCGGUUCCUCCAGAGCGUUCAGCUUCAAGUAGACCCUUUAUUGCUCCCACUACGCCAGCAUGGGAUUUGGAGUCUGUGCAACUUGACUUCUUAGAAGAUGGUGAUGGUGAGGUUAUACAGCCUAGGAAUGUCAAACCAGCUGAUCGAUCUCUCUGUUCAUUUGCUGCUGCUGGUAGCUGUCCUCGUGGAGAUAAAUGUCCUCAUAUUCAUGGUGACCGAUGUGCCUAUUGUGGAAAGCAUUGUUUGCAUCCUUUCAGACCUGAUGAAAGAAAUGAGCAUUUGAAAGCAUGUGAGAAGAAGCAAAAGAACCUUGACUUAUUAAAAUAUAGUCAAGAAAUAGAGUGCAGUGUAUGCUUGGAUCGUGUACUUUCAAAGCCCACAGCAGCUGAGCGGAAGUUUGGGCUGCUAUCAGAAUGCAAUCAUCCAUUCUGCAUAUCAUGUAUCAGGAAUUGGCGUAGCAGUUCCCCAACCUCUGGAAUGGAUGUUAACUCUUCAUUGAGGGCUUGCCCAAUAUGUCGCAAGCUUUCAUACUUUGUUAUCCCAAGUGUCAUUUGGUAUUCCACUAAAGAGGAAAAACAGGAAAUAGUGGAUACCUACAAGGAAAAACUCAGGUCGAUAGAUUGCAAACACUUUGACUUUGGGAAUGGGAACUGCCCAUUUGGAACCAGCUGCUUUUACAAGCAUGCGUAUCGAGAUGGCCACUUGGAGGAAGUGGUUUUACGUCAUCUUGGAGCUGAAGAUGGACAGGGUGUGAUAGCUAAAAAUAUCAGGCUGUCUGAUUUCCUUGGUGGCUUGCAAAUAAGGUGAACUGGUGGUGUUCAAAUAUUUAAAUGAUAUCUAUCAAUGUCAAGAAAUUUAUUCAACUUUAUUGUGGAAGGUCUUCAAUCUUCGGUGCCAAACCCAGUUGUUUGCAAGACCCGAUGGGAUUUUAUGAAGAUUCAUGGCAUAGGUGGCGUGCAUAAAAUUCAGUCUGCAGAAAAACUAUUUGCCAUCUUAAUAUAAGCUUAAAGUUCACAGAAUUACUUGGAUUUUCCAUGUGGUUGAAUAAUAAGAUGGCUUUCUGGAGGAGACUCGAUUGCGGGAAGCUGAAAGGUGUGCAGGUGUGUUAUAAUAAGCUGCCUCUUGAGUUAUUUUGAAAUAAUAUCAUGAAGAACAUGCCAAGGCGUGAAAAAAUAUACCAAGAGGUGAUAAAUUAUGUACUUGUCAAGGAAAAGGAUUUGAGUAAUGGAUGUUUGCGAUUAGAAUUUGCUUCCCUCACACCGCAAAGGACAGUGAAAACUACUGGGUUUUGCCCUAAUGGUUUGUAAUAAUUUGAAGUUUUGAUGGCAAUGUCAUGAUGUGGUGUUGCAUCAUGCUGGAGUGGCCUCUGUGUCAAAGUUUUGAACUUUUGAGGUAUACAUGAGAUUUAAUACAAUGGAGCUAAUUUGUAUCAA